rnacentral:rRNA from 1 species
AGAACGAACGCUGGCGGCAUGCCUAAUACAUGCAAGUCGAACGAAGGCUUCGGCCUUAGUGGCGCACGGGUGCGUAACGCGUGGGAAUCUGCCCCUUGGUUCGGAAUAACAGUUGGAAACGACUGCUAAUACCGGAUGAUGACGAAAGUCCAAAGAUUAUCGCCAAGGGAUGAGCCCGCGUAGAUUAGCUAGUUGGUGAGGUAAAGCUCACCAAGGCGACGAUCCUUAGCUGGUCUGAGAGGAUGAUCAGCCACACUGGGACUGAGACACGGCCCAGACUCCUACGGGAGGCAGCAGUAGGGAAUAUUGGACAAUGGG